GAGGAGAGAAAUGGCCAAGACACCAAGAAGAAAGCAGGAAAGGAGGAAAAGAAGGAACUGAAAAUUUAAGGGAGUGGUGUGAAUUAGUCCAAAGGAAGGGACUAGGUGAUGACCAACAAUGUCUCUCUGGGGAGAGUCCAGCUGAGAAAACAAGACUUUGGGAGUCACUUUUCUGCUUCAACCUUGUUGAGUCUCUCUCUUGUUUCUACAGCGCCAAGUCCUCCAAGCCAACUGCCCCAUGAGCCUCUGUUCAAUUUAUUCGACUCCCGGAUCACUGUAAGAAUGCUGAGGUUACAGCUGUGUACCACCUCAUCAAGCUUUCUCCUGGGUUUCAGGGAUUGAACUUGGUUCAUCAAGUUUGUGUGCCUGAAUGUUAAGAGAUUGGACUUCUCACAAGAGAAACAGAGCUACAACUAGAAUUUUUUUUUAAGAGCACAUUGUAGGAUUGGCAAGAUUCACCAAUGGUUAAAGCACUUUGCCCUUUGUUUUCUUUCAUUACAGAGUCACACAUUUACAGCUCACAAUGGCCAUGAAGUCAUGAUUCCCCUGCUUCAUUUCCCAAGUGCUGGGAUUGCACAUGUGGGCUACUUCCCCCAACUUCCUGAAGC
rnacentral:lncRNA from 1 species